AAAAUUUGUAUAUGGCAUGUAGGCUCUUUUCAGAGGGAAAGAAAGGCAGUAGCUUAUUUAUCAUUUGGGGUAUAGAAGGCUUGAACAUCAGGAAAUGCCUGAUCCCACAUUAUAUAUAGCUAACAAGGCUGGACUGAUCUCAUCCUCUGAUCAUAUGCCCUUGAUGCAAGGAAUACAUCACAAGACACAAGAGUGUCCACUGUGGUGUUUGCCGGUGUUGUGAUUGCUACCGUGUCCAGCCAUUUUGUGGGCAUAAAGUACAUUAAAUGGCUCCCAGAGCAGAAGAGUACAUACUUAGUGGAAAAUGGAAGGAUGGGCAAUACAUGGAUAAUAAAAGGAUGAGCCAGUUUGGUCUAGUGCAGGGGUAGGCAACCUUGGCUCUUUUAUGACUCGUGGACUUCAGCUCCCAGAAUUCCUGAGCCAGCAUGGCUGUUGCCAUUCCUAUAUUUUUCUCCUUCUGGCUGUAUUUUCUUUUGUUUUCAAACUGGGAGUGAUUUGGGUGUGAUACAGAUCAAAGGAGUGUUCCAUAGGCCAUGUUAAAGUUUUCUUGAAUGGAAAGCCUAAGAGAUGACGAGAUUGCAAAGGAAGAUUUGGUUUCCUACGAGCUCAGGACCUUGUAUUUAAAUGAAACAUCAUAGCCAGCCUCACUGCUCAAUCAAGGCACUCAGGUGGUGCCAGGUAGAGAAGUAAGACCCUAGAGGGCCAUAGAAGGCCUUGACAGUUGAAGAACUUCUUCAUCAAACGUACUCUCCUGAGAGAACCAUCUGAUAUCAACAAACCUAGUCAUCUUUCAGAGAAUGGAAAUCUGGUUUUUUCAGGAGACUAGUGGCGAUUAAUACCUUGUCACCAGUGGUUUUGUUAGUGGUGAUUUGCUUGUGGUUUUUUUUUUCUUACUGUUUUACCUAUGUUUUCAGAUGUUUCAUCCUGUUGCUAGCUAUUCUAGGUUUCAUAUUGACAUUUUGACUAAGCUCAAACUGGGAAGAGAGAUGGCUGUAUAGAAAGUCAGGUUUCAUUUUGGUAGAAAAGGCUUAUCCAGCUGUCAAACUUAGCCAAAAGAAACCUGUUGGGACUCGCUUUGAAGCUCUUCUGUUUUUCUUGGAACGAGGUUAGUGAAGAAGAAAUAUAGAAUAAAAUCACAUCCUUUGAUGAACGGGCAGUCUGAAAAGAUCUUUCAGAAUGGCCUUCAGAUGUUGAUUUCUUCACAAAUUAUUAACUUGUCUUUUGGAACUGAUUAUGUGCGAGAGAUGUAACUCAACUGUAGCUGAAUCAUACUGGCUUUCCAAGACUUCUGUGACCAUGGUUUGAGGUUUAGUGAUUUCCUUUAAUUAACAAUCUCAACUUGGAAGUUGACCUUGCACUGUAACGAAUAUAUUCAAUCGCCUAGUAUUGUUUAGUUGCUUCCCACUUUUUAAUGGGCUCCCCAACCUUGGCAACUUUUAAGACUUGUGAACUUGAACUCCCAAGGAUACAACUUCUUGGAGAAGUCCCUAAAGUUGGAAAAGAUGGAAGGAAAAGGAAGGAGACAAGCAAGAGGAAAAUGGAUUCAAUUACAACGAUGAUGGAAGUACCAUUGGAAGACCUGAAGGACCAGGUUGGGGUCAAGACCUCCUGAAGUCUGUAUUUGUGGUUCCUAUAAGUCAGGGGUCUUCAA